AGUGAACGCUGGCGGUAGGCCUAACACAUGCAAGUCGAACGGCAGCACAGUAAGAGCUUGCUCUUACGGGUGGCGAGUGGCGGACGGGUGAGGAAUACAUCGGAAUCUACUUUUUCGUGGGGGAUAACGUAGGGAAACUUACGCUAAUACCGCAUACGACCUACGGGUGAAAGCAGGGGAUCUUCGGACCUUGCGCGAUUGAAUGAGCCGAUGUCGGAUUAGCUAGUUGGCGGGGUAAAGGCCCACCAAGGCGACGAUCCGUAGCUGGUCUGAGAGGAUGAUCACCCACACGGGAACUGGGACACGGUCCAGACUCCUACGGGAGGCAGCAGUGGGGAAUAUUGGACAAUGGGCGCAAGCCUUAUCCAGCCAUACCGCGUGGGUGAAGAAGGCCUUCGGGUUGUAAAGCCCUUUUGUUGGGAAAGAAAAGCAGCAGGUUAAUACCCCGCUGUUCUGACGGUACCCAAAGAAUAAGCACCGGCUAACUUCGUG
rnacentral:rRNA from 1 species